rnacentral:rRNA from 1 species
UACGUAGGGUGCAAGCGUUGUCCGGAAUUAUUGGGCGUAAAAGAGCUCGUAGGCGGUCUGUCGCGUCGGCUGUGAAAACCCGGAGCUCAACUCCGGGCCUGCAGUCGAUACGGGCAAACUGGAGUGUUGCAGGGGAGACUGGAAUUCCUGGUGUAGCGGUGAAAUGCGCAGAUAUCAGGAGGAACACCGGUGGCGAAGGGCGGCCUUCUGGGACAGUGACUGACGCUGAGACGCGAAAGCGUGGGGAGCAAACAGG